UUGGUUAUAGCAAGAGUAAACGAACAACAGUACAGACAGUCAGUGUAAAGCGUGUCUGUUGAUAGCAACGUAUGGGAAUAAGCGUGUAUUGAGACCGAAAAACAAAAAAACAUAACGGUCGUUAAAUGUGCUGUGAUGUUUAUAAAUAAAAAAAAUAUUUUGUAUUGAUAAAAAUUCUAUUAAUUAAUAUUGUUCAAUUAUUAAAUUAUAAAUAAAUAAAAAGGAAAAAGCUUUCAAUUUGUGUUGUGUCCUUUUGACGUUUUUCUUUUUUUAAUUUUUUGUUAAAUUUUUGCUGCACAAAAAUAAAAAAUAAAAAAACAAACGAAGGUUAUUCCUGUUUAUUGUGUUUGGCGUAUAUGCUGUGUUGUUGCUGCUGCUGCUUCUUCUUCUUCUACUGAUUGCAGCAUUGUUAUUGUUCUCGCGCAAAAAUACCUUGCGGAGAGAAGCUGUGCUUAAAAUAUUUGUGUUAUUGUUUAAAAAUAAAUACAGAAUUAAUAUAAAAAAAAAAGAAUUUUAUUUUUAUUUAUUUAUUUUUUUUUUUUUUGAAAUAAAUUACGCGCCAAAACUCACAAAAACAACUGUUUUAAUCAGUGCUUCAAAUGGGAGUAACUUUCCACUUCAGUACAUUUCUCCUUACGUCCCUACUUUUAGACGUAUAAAGAAUUCGACGACCUCGACGCUGCUUUUAGAUAGUAAAUUGCACUACAUUGCAUAUAUUUGCAUCAUUUUGAUUGCUGUUGCACACUUAAGGAGGCGAGUGAAGAUCUGGGACUUAAAAUAAUUAAUAAAGGCACCUCUGUUUACUGGACAUCACUUGGUCUUUUUAAAACUAUGCUCAUUAUGGAAUAACAGG